UACGGGGGGGAGCAAGCGUUGUUCGGAUUUACUGGGCGUAAAGGGCGCGUAGGCGGCCAGCACAAGUCAGUUGUGAAAUCUCCGAGCUUAACUCGGAAAGUCAACUGAUACUGUGCGGCUAGAGUGCGGAAGGGGCAACUGGAAUUCUUGGUGUAGCGGUGAAAUGCGUAGAUAUCAAGAGGAACACCUGCGGCGAAGGCGGGUUGCUGGGCCGACACUGACGCUGAGGCGCGAAAGCCAGGGGGAGCGAACGGG
rnacentral:rRNA from 1 species